GUAAGGAAUAUUGGGCAAUGGAGGCAACUCUGACCCAGCAACGCCGCGUGAAGGAAGAAGGUCUUCGGAUCGUAAACUUCUAUCCUUGGUGAAGAUAAUGACGGUAGCCGAGAAGGAAGCCCCGGCUAACUACGUGCCAGCAGCCGCGGUAAUACGUAGGGGGCAAGCGUUGUCCGGAAUGAUUGGGCGUAAAGGGCGCGUAGGCGGCCUGGUAAGUCUGGAGUGAAAGUCCUGCUUUUAAGGUGGGAAUUGCUUUGGAUACUGUCGGGCUUGAGUGCAGGAGAGGUAAGUGGAAUUCCCGGUGUAGCGGUGAAAUGCGUAGAGAUCGGGAGGAACACCAGUGGCGAAGGCGACUUACUGGACUGUAACUGACGCUGAGGCGCGAAAGUGUGGGGAGCAAACAGGAUUAGAAACCCGUGUAGUCC
rnacentral:rRNA from 1 species